UUUAAAACACUACACAACAAAAUGUCGUCCUGCGAUUUAACUGUCUUAAUCAGUUUUGUUGUAUUAUCGUGUGUUAUACAAAACCAAGACUUCAUCAAGAAAUUUUCAGAAAUCAUUAUUUCGGGACAAGCGCAAACUACGAAUUCUUUGUCUAGGACCACGGACUGUACUCUUCAAGAAAUUGGUGAAUAUGCAGUGAGUUCUGAAGAUAUUAAACGCAAAUACAAAACAUCACUUGAUGAGUGCAAGACAGACUGUGUGAAUUCUCCGCAGUGCCGAGCUAUGUAUUAUAUAAACAAAAGGUGUUUUAUCAUUCAUAAAGAAGCGAAACGAGUUGAACGAAUGGGGUCGUCGUACUUUCAAAAAAAGUGCCUUGGGCUAUAUUGUGAUGUCAAACUGUUGGAGGGACAACUUUCAAAUGUAUUACAAAUAGUAUCCAAUCUCAGCAGUGAAGUCAAGAGUCUAAAGGAAAGCUUAGCAAAAUUCAACACCACCGUUAAUUGAUAUAGAACGGACACCGAACAAAAACAUUUUACAGAUAUAUAUAUACAUGUAGUUAGAAAUUUUAUUGUUCAAAUUUUAUUGGAAAACAUAAUCUCUCUCUCUCUCUCUCUCUCUCUCUCUCUCUCUCUCUCUCUCUCUCUCUUGUUAUAUACAUGUACAAUGUACUUGAUAAGAUUUAUACCUUCCUUAGUGGCCCAUCUUCCUUCUGAAAAUUUUGUUAUUUACUCAUUACAAUAUCCCAUACUAAAUGAGAAUUUCAAAUAUGUAGAUAUCAUAAUUUUAGUUCAUUUGAAAUUCUUUUAACUGCUAUAUAAGUUCUAGAAACCAUCAAACUAACUUUAUUUUAAUUUCUUUAAAUAUAUUUUUGAGAUGUCAUGCAUGUAGUUAUGGUGUGAUUAAGGAAGUGGAUAUUAAGUUUUUGACAUUUCCAUGUAACAACAAAAGAACGGACCUAACUCUACAGCAAAGAAACUAACCACUGGCAAUACAUUGCCUCUUAAAAUAUCUCUUAUUUUUUAAAUGCUCUUUCUUUGUUUUUUUUUAAUGCCUUAAGGUUAUACACUUUUCUUUCUUUUGAAACAAACAUUAGACUUCCUUCUAAAUCCAAAGAUUCAGACUCUCUUGAACGGAUCUACCAAGCAGUACUAGUAUUGAGACACAAUUACAUCAACAAUUGUUGAUAGUAAACAGAAAGUUCGUUUGGAUUUUGGACACAACUUCGUGUAAUUUCAUUAAAGGUUUUAGAGAUCAAAAAUCAACGAUAAUAUCUUUGUCAUGGAAACCUUCAAGGGCUAUGAUGUUAUUACUAUAAAACAAGUGGUGUUCAUUUUGUGAUUCUUCAGUCAUCGUCUGAAACCCAACGAUGUUCUUCAGUUUGCCCAUGGUCACGGAACAGUUUUUUAAAAAUACAAUUCACUAUAGCCAGGGAAUUUCCUCGAUUUCGAUUCCCAUUCAGCACAAAUGCUUUUAAUUCACUUCUUAUAAGGCCAAUUACCAGUUUAGGAGAAAAAUUAAUAGUCAGAACGUGAAAAUUUUCUUCAAACUUUUUAUUUUGAGAUUUCGACCGAUUCAUAUUUCGCCAAUUUUUCAUGAUGUUUAAGCUCUUUAGACUCCCUCCCCCUUCCCCGCUAAUUCCCUACAAAGGGUUGACAUUCCGUUAUUUUAUCUCCAGUGUGUUACUUGCAAUUUCAUUGUCACAGACAUAGACACAGACAUAGCCGCACGAUUCGCAUUUGUUCUUCUUACUCUAAUGUACUCAAAAUUAGAAGUCUAUAUACAGCAUACCAAUUUCACCAUGAGACAAACCUUUAACUAAUGAUAAUCAUUAAAAAUCAUUUUAUGAAUUUUAGAUUUUAACAACACUCAUUAGACUACAAGUACAUGUACAGCAAAUCUCAAUUUCACAAAAAUACCGUCUCUUGCUACUUAAUGGUUACACAGAUUCAUAUUAGGCAGAUGUAGGUCAGUACAAUGUAUUUGUUGUAAAAAGAGAAACUAAUUGAUUCUUCCGAAGAGCUAAAUAAUGUCUCAUACCACCGUGUCCAGUAAAUUGGUUAUAUAUUUGUUCGUGUUUCAGUGUUUUACUACGACUGUUAUUGAACCAUUUUGAGAUUAAUAAAUUACACCCUAUAUUGUAAUUGGAAAAUUAAACUGGUCUUCACCUUCAGUAACAAAUCAGCCUUUUUGCUAUAUGCUCUGUUUUAUGAAUUUCACAGUUAUACCGUAACAUCGGAGGUGCAUACCAUUUCAUACGAAAAAAAUGCUCCGUAUCACGUGAGAGGCGUACCAUUCUGUGAAAGCAGUUUAUCUUAUCAUUAUAUAAUUGUAUCAGAAGCAUGAGAAAAAAUUGUAAAAAAAAAAAAAAUACAUUGUAUUUGUUUCAAUAAAAAAAAAUCUGGCAGGGAGAGAGACCAAGGAUUUUUCAGUUUUUUUAAGAGUUACCUAAAUAGUGAAAUUCAUGGUCCAUUGAGUCAGAAAGUGCAGGCUAGAGGGCGGGGCCAAUAUGGCCACAUCGUUAAAAUGUAUUUAUUGAGAUCUUAAAAAUUCUUCUCUACUCUCAUACAUAUUUUCAUGUCAAGGUCAUCAAAGACACAUUGAGUUUAUUUAAUUAUUCGAAAUCAAUGAAACUUUUACUCAGCUUACUCAAAGUCUUCACCUGCCAAUGUUACUCGUUGUUUCGAUUCCUUUAUAUAGUUUAAUUGUCAAUAUUCAAUCUGGAAUACGGCGGCCAGCAUCGGCCAGUCGUCCGACUCACCCAGAGUCUGAGUUUGGAGACCAAUACCGGCCAUAUCCGUCUCGUUAGACACAUGUCUGUUUAAUUGUUAAUGUAUUAUAAUUUGACCAUCAUUGAGACUUGUCGAAUAAAUUCGGAAUACUGCAUCAAUUUGCUUUUAUUUCUCUGGAGUUGUAUUUUGAUGGACCUUCUCGAAUACGGCUUACCUACCCUUUGUUUUUACAUUAUGGCUCACAGGGCGCUUCAAUCCUCAUUGAACCCUCUACGCCAACAUUCCUCAACCCGUUCGUACUGCACACGACGGGUACAGCUCCAGAUUAAUUCCCCAGCACCGUGGAAAUCUACGCGGUCACACUACCAAGGAAAUAUUAAUUACUUUCGGGUUUGACUAAUUUACGCUUUAUAAACCGCAAAACGAUUUAUAAAUUUGUGAAAGCUCUUUUAAACCAGUGAGUUUUAUUUAGAAAUAAACAGCAAGUUAAAAAGAUUACCCGGAUAUGAACUUGGUUGGUCACGUGAUUAAAUCCUGUGAAGCCCGAGGUUCAUAUCCUGGUGAACUUUUUAAUAGUGCUGUUUAUUAUUAAUAAUUUAAUUCUGAUUGGCACGCGGCAUUUGAUUGAAUAUAACAAUUAAGUUAAAUUUUUAUAACCUGGUUUGCACGUUACAAGACGCGUCUCAUUGCACCAACGUCAAAAACGUACUAAUCCACUUGAUGUUACGUAUUAAUUUUAAACUGAUAAAUAUCAUUUUUAAAACUAAAAUGCAUGAAAGAACUAUAUAUGAUAUGAGUUAAAUUUGGCCCCCAUAUUUCGCCAUUUUUAAAAAUGUUUCUGGUACAAUAAAAUGUUAUAUUAUAUUUUAGAAGAGUUGAUGUAAAUGAUAUGUUUUGCCUAUUUAUUUGAUUUCUUUGCACUCAUUGGCAGUAUAUGACGUCAGAAGUGACGCUAUUUCAACAAUUUAAUCAAAACCAUUCAAAACUUGCCAUUUUUCUUAUCUUUUUAUGAAUGGGAAAUAUACAGCGCAUGCUUGAACAAGGAAAACGUUUUUGUCACUUAUUAGCCUUGGUUAGAUGCAUCUCUGAUUAAAAUAGUUUGUUUGUUCAAUCAUGCGCUCUAUGUUUUUUGAAAGAAAAACUGAUAGAAAACAAGCUGUUUUAUGCUAAAAAUGCAAAAAUGGC